CCUACGGGGAGCAGCAGUGAGGAAUAUUGGUCAAUGGCCGGAAGGCUGAACCAGCCAUGCCGCGUGAAGGUCAGUGCCCUAUGGGCGUUAAACUUCUUUUGUGCGGGAGCAAUAAUGGUCACGUGUGGCCAGACGAGAGUACCGUACGAAUAAGCAUCGGCUAACUUCGUGCCAGCAGCCGCGGUAAUACGGGGGAUGCAAGCGUUAUCCGGAUUUAUUGGGUUUAAAGGGUGCGUAGGCUGUGAGGUAAGUCAGCGGUGAAAUGCCCCGGCUCAACGGGGUGGAGUGCCAGUGAUACUGGGUUGCUGGAAGGCGGAUGACGUGGGAGGAAUGUGUGGUGUAGCGGUGAAAGGCAUAGAUAUCA
rnacentral:rRNA from 1 species